rnacentral:lncRNA from 1 species
AAAUAUGCUCACUUGAUCCUAACAGUUUUCUCUUUAAUCCCUGAAGCUUUGACCCUCCUGUGUGACAUGCUGCUGAUUUGCUAUAGAAUCUGAACUCUUGAAAACCUUAGAGAGAGAUAUUGGCCAAGCAGAAAAUGCUUCCAUGUUGCAGUUUCAGUGGACAGCGUGAUUCCAAAAAUGAAGUCAUCCUUCCAGCGCCUGGUCCUACUCUGUUCACUCAUCCUGCUGUAACCCAGCUAAAAGAAUGCACUUCGAUUUACAAUUCAAGACCAGACUCGAUCAUUUUUCCAGCACAGACCUUGAUGCCACUUUUUGGAAGCCUGCUGUGUGAACAUUUCAGAGCCCAGGAGACAGCUGUGAGCACGGAUCCACUGUCACCUAUGGAGUCACCUGCUGAGCUUUAUCCCAAAAUAAAACAUCCUACUAGGGAGCAUCAUCACCGAUGUGUAGGCAGCACUUGCCUGAUUGCUUUUCACUAUUUCUAGUGUUUUGUUAUCAUUUUCAUUUGGGAGAGUGCUUGGAGCAGUUCCGGUGGUACAGGAGGAGGCGCAGGAGCGAGACCAUCCCUCCAGAGUAAUCCCUGCUGCUUGCUGAAUAGAUACCUGAAGGCAACAUCACUUGGCUAUUUCUGGCCUGCAGUAGAUUGCUACUUGCAAACCUUUUUAUGCUGUUAUUCAUCUCCUGAGCCAUCUGGCCCCUGUUGCAGGAUACCUGCAGAUGGAUUAAUAGACCAAUCUAAUAGAGCUGUACAUAUUAAAUAUACAGCAGAAGCAGCUGUUGGGUGUUUGUUGUGAGCUUUCUAUUUUUCCCUGAUGUUUCAGCCACUGUAAUUUAAAGUUCUAAGUCAGUUCUUCAAGGAAAGGAACUGUUUUUACCUCAACUAUCCAAAAACCAAAAUAAAUUUAUCUCUCAUAAAAGAAGCCUGUCA